ensembl:lncRNA
CAGAGAGUUGAAUGGAUGGAUGGAUGGACAGACAGACAGGUGAAUAGAUGGAUGGAUGGAUGGAUGGAUGGAUAGAUGGAUGGACAGACAGGUGAAUAGAUGGAUGGAUGGAUGGAGGGAUAGAUGGAUGGACAGACAGGUGAAUAGAUGGAUGGAUGGACGGAUGGAUAGAUGGAUGGACAGACAGGUGAGUAGAUGGAUGGAUGGAUGGAUGGACAGACAGGUGAAUAGAUAGAUGGAUGGAUGGACAGACAGGUGAAUAGAUGGAUGGAUGGAUGGAUAGAUGGAUGGACAGACAGGUGAGUAGAUGGAUGGAUGGAUGGACAGACAGGUGAAUAGAUCGAUGGAUGGAUGGAUUUAUAGAUGGAUGGACAGACAGGUGGAUAGAUGGAUGGAUGGAUGGAUAGAUGGAUGGACAGACAGGUGAAUAGAUGGAUGGAUGGAUAGAUAGAUGGAUGGACAGACAGGUGAAUAGAUAGAUGGAUGGAUGGACGGACAGAUGGAUGGACAGACAGGUGAAUAGAUGGAUGGAUGGAUGGACAGACAG